UACAGAGGUGGCAAGCGUUGUUCGGAAUUAUUGGGCGUAAAGAGCUCGUAGGCGGUCUGUCGCGUCGAUCGUGAAAACUUGGGGCUUAACCCUGAGCUUGCGGUCGAUACGGGCAUGACUGGAGUUCGGCAGGGGAGACUGGAAUUCCUGGUGUAGCGGUGAAAUGCGCAGAUAUCAGGAGGAACACCGGUGGCGAAGGCGGGUCUCUGGGCCGAUACUGACGCUGAGGAGCGAAAGCCAGGGGAGCAAACGGG
rnacentral:rRNA from 1 species